ACCACUACACCACAGCAACUUAUUUAUUAAUGGGUCGAAUAACAUAACUUAAAUAUAUCUACAAAAUAGAACUGAACCUCUAUCAAGCUAAAUAAUUUCGUUUAAGUAUCUUACCUACUUCAUCAAUCAUCGUUUUUGGAAGCUAAAGAUUAUUGAACAAUAAUUCCUCUGCGCUUUGGUGUCUAUGAUGGCAACUACAACAGCUUGACUAAGGUCGUUGCUCAAAAUCUUAGGUUGCUUUUUUGACAGAAUAACAGAUUCAUCUUCAGCAGCGGCUCAGUUUCAAAUACACACAUUGUCAAACCAAUUGAAGAAAAGUUAGCAUCCACUAGAAAAAAAAGUGAAAUAACAAAGAGGUGUGCAAAUUGCCAGCCACACAGACAAUGCAAAGAAUAAAAAAGACAAGCAGAAGAUGAAAUUGGGAAAAAUAAAGCAAACACUUGAUAAUGAGAAUAUUUCAGAAUAAGAAUGACAACAACCAAAAACCCAAAACCACAGGCAACAUCAACAUAGAAGAAAUGGGAAGGAACCCAGAAAAGAAAAGAAAAAAAGAGAGUGAUUUAAAAGGAAAACGGGGGAAAGGUGAAACCUUGAAGAAAGCAGAGUGGUCGGGGCCAAAGAGUUGUUUGAUUUGAGGGUAUUUGGAGAGGAUCUGACGACGUCGUGUGGCAUGGGGUUCGUCUGUGUAGGACCAGAAGAAGCCCCCGGCUACUGCGACCCCUUCUCGAUCUUCUCCUCUACCCAUCUCUUCUUCUCUCACAUCACAAACUUGAUGGAAGAACAAUGUAUUUUAUUUAUACAGAGGAAUGAGAACGAGAUUGGAAAGUGCCUAAGAAUAGAGAGAGGACAUAAUUACAGCCCCACUCAAUCUAUUUGGUCACAAUUUGUUUGCCCCGACAUUACAGGCUGGAAAUUUACAGGACUACCCUGGAUGGAUCUAGCGGACUAAACAAAUCUGUUUUUUUGUUUUCUUAUUAACCUUUUGUAAUCUUGUGGGCUAUUAGAUGCUUUCCUUUUUUAAAUAUUGUUAUUUUUAGUAGUUUAUUUAUGCCAGAUAUAUAUCUUUUUUAAGCCCCUCUUCAUCACCCUUCCACAACGGCUACAUUUAUCAUAAAAUAUUUUGAUUUAAUUACGCCUUUGGUCAA